UAGAUAAGCAUCAUUUGUAUAUCAAAAUUGUGGGCAGUGGCACCGCAUUUUAAGUGAGACGGGCCUUUCUAAAUUUUUUGCAUCUUUCAUCUUUUUCACUGUGUCCAUUUUGCUAAAUCUGCUUACCAAAAAUCAAGGCCAGUGUGUUAAUUUGCCUAAUUUGGAAUUGGAGAUAAAUGUGGAUUGAUUUUCAACUUCUCUCAGAAUACAGGGGAAGGGCCAUCUGUUAGAAUUAACUGGGUGUGUAAAUCCCUUUUGAUGCAUCUUCUCUGACAACAGGGUGGAAGAGUAACUGGUCGACCACAGCGUUCUCUCUAUUCACAGUGAGAAAUACACUGUCCCUCUGAGAAGUCCAUCAGUUAAUAUUAACAAGGAGAAAGAGAAGGAAUAACUUGGCAGGAAGCUCUGAAUCUCCCCCUGACUUGAUUCAAGAGAUCAUCAAGGAAGGAGUCUAGCUGUAAAGUAUACCUCCCUUCCUCUGAUGAGAGUGACGACCGGGGUGCCUGGAAUCAGAGGGCAGCCUGCUCUCCUUUGGCAAACAAACACCCACUCUGAUUUGCUCUUUGGAGCCAGAUGGCAUGCAGUACUUCUGAAGUUAAAUCCAGCCUUAUGAUGACAAUGGCCAUUGCCAACAAGGAACCACUUGGACUGUGAUGCCAAACUCUUCAGCUCUUGGUGAGUCCUUUUCAUCAGGCAAGCAUUU
rnacentral:lncRNA from 1 species